CCUACGGGUGGCAGCAGUGAGGAAUAUUGGUCAAUGGACGAGAGUCUGAACCAGCCAAGUAGCGUGAAGGAUGACUGCCCUAUGGGUUGUAAACUUCUUUUAUAUGGGAAUAAAAUGUUCCAUGUGUGGGAUUUUGUAUGUACCAUAUGAAUAAGGAUCGGCUAACUCCGUGCCAGCAGCCGCGGUAAUCCGGAGGAUCCGAGCGUUAUCCGGAUUUAUUGGGUUUAAAGGGAGCGUAGGUGGAGUGUUAAAUCAGUUGUGAAAGUUUGCGGCUCAAACGUAAAAUUGCAGUUGAAACUGGCAGGCUUGAGUACAGUAGAGGUAGGCGGAAUUCGUGGUGUAGCGGUGAAAUGCUUAGAUAUCACGAAGAACUCCGAUUGCGAAGGCAGCUCACUGGACUGCAACUGACACUGAGGCUCGAAAGUGUGGGUAUCAAACAGGAUUAGAUACCCGAGUAGUC
rnacentral:rRNA from 1 species